rnacentral:rRNA from 1 species
AAUUCGAUUAGAGUUUGAUCCUGGCUCAGAACGAACGCUGGCGGCAGGCUUAACACAUGCAAGUCGAACGCACCGCAAGGUGAGUGGCAGACGGGUGAGUAACGCGUGGGAACGUGCCCUUCAGUUCGGGAUAACCCAGGGAAACUUGGGCUAAUACCGGAUACGUGCGAGAGCAGAAAGAUUUAUCGCUGAAGGAUCGGCCCGCGUCUGAUUAGCUAGUUGGUGGGGUAAUGGCCCACCAAGGCGACGAUCAGUAGCUGGUCUGAGAGGAUGAUCAGCCACAUUGGGACUGAGACACGGCCCAAACUCCUACGGGAGGCAGCAGUGGGGAAUAUUGGACAAUGGGCGCAAGCCUGAUCCAGCCAUGCCGCGUGAGUGAUGAAGGCCUUAGGGUUGUAAAGCUCUUUCGCACGCGACGAUAAUGACGGUAGCGUGAGAAGAAGCCCCG